rnacentral:rRNA from 1 species
UACGUAGGGUGCAAGCGUUGUCCGGAAUUAUUGGGCGUAAAGAGCUCGUAGGCGGUUUGUCGCGUCUGCUGUGAAAACUCGGGGCUUAACCCCGGGCCUGCAGUGGGUACGGGCAGACUAGAGUGCGGUAGGGGAGACUGGAAUUCCGUGGUGUAGCGGUGAAAUGCGCAGAUAUCAGGAGGAACACCGGUGGCGAAGGCGGGUCUCUGGGCAACAACUGACGCUGAGGAGCGAAAGCGUGGGGAGCGAACAGG